rnacentral:rRNA from 1 species
GACGAACGCUGGCGGCGUGCUUAACACAUGCAAGUCGAACGAAGUGGCGCACGGGUGAGUAACGCGUAAUCAACCUGCCCUUCAGAGGGGGACAACAGUUGGAAACGACUGCUAAUACCGCAUACUGACGUACGGGAUUGCGUCUGAUUGGCUAGUUGGCGGGGUAACGGCCCACCAAGGCGAUGAUCAGUAGCCGGUCUGAGAGGGGGAACGGCAAAAUUGGGAAUGGGACACGGCCCAGACUCCUACGGGAGGCAGCAGGUGGGAAUCUUUCGAAAUGGAGGGAAGUCUGACGGAGCAACGCCGCGUGAGUGAUGACGGCCUUCGGGUUGUAAAGCUCUGUUAAUCGGGACGCGGUACCGGAAUAGAAAGCAACGGCUAACUACGUGCCAGCAGCCGCGGUAAUAC